CUUUGAAAUCAUGUUUUUUUAAACACAUUCAAAAAUGUAUGGGAAUAAUUUUUGUACUAGCAUUGAUGAAGGUUUGCAUGCUGAGACAUUAUUUAAAUGAAUAAAAUGGAGCACAGCACCAAAGUUUCAUGUGUAUCUAUUAGUGCAAACAACACAGAGUCCUUGGCACUUGCUCUGAUCGCUCGCCCUUCAUUUCUAUUAAAUAUAGAGUGACUUGUAUUCAAGUUGAGGGCUUUCACAAUGAUAUUAGCUCUACCGCAUUAAGUCUCUCAGGCUUUCCUGCCAAGAUCCUCCACUGCUGUAUACAUGCUUCUAAGUGCAGAGACAUGACCUGCCACCUCAGAUGAGUACUGGGCUGAGACCACAUCAUGACAGUGGGGGUCUCUUCAGUCCCACAGUCCUCAGGGAUCUGUCUGGCCUGGAGAAAGCUGCCUCAUGCAGAAAACUUAUGGAUCUGCUCAAAAACCUCAUUUCACAACUGGUCUCACUUAGAUCGCAGGGAUCUUCCCUGGGAAUAAGAAAGAGAUUGACAGCAGGCAGAGGUAACACCAUGUGACUUUGGACCUCCUUACAUUUUGGAAAUGAGUGAUCUUUGGAGUGAGAAGAGAUACAGAAAAUGCAAGUUCAACUUAUUAUAAAUAAAUAAAUAAAUAAAUAAAUAAAUAUGUAUAAUUGUUAUAUAAUAAUAAUAA